rnacentral:rRNA from 1 species
AUGAUCUAUUACCCAGACCAAUCUCAUCUACCCACCCAACAAACGGCAACCCCGCGGCAUCAGAGGAGCAUGACGAUGUCGACUGUGGCGGCGGUGCUAGACUGUGAGGCGGCGACUUGCCGGACCAGAUGGUGCGGAGCCUGCUGGAGCCGGAGAGUCUUCAUCAGUAGCAAGACCACCUGCAGCUCCUUCAUCUCCAUCCUCCUAGCCGUCGUCCGCUUGUUCAUGCAUGUCAUCUCCACGGAUUCCGCAAGUACCACAUCCUCGCCAAGGGCAUCUCCAACCUCAACACCAUGGUAUUUUUUUUCUCCCCUCUCUCUUUUCUUCCCGCCGGUUCAGUCGAUCGGGCCAGCUUGUUGUUUAUUUGCAAGAUAG